GACGAACGCUGGCGGCGUGCUUAACACAUGCAAGUCGAACGGUGAAAGAAGAGCUUGCUCUUCUGGAUCAGUGGCGAACGGGUGAGUAACACGUGAGUAACCUGCCCCAGACUCUGGAAUAAGCGCUGGAAACGGCGUCUAAUACCGGAUACGAGAAAGAGCUGCAUGGCUACUGUCUGGAAAGUUUUUCGGUCUGGGGUGGACUCGCGGCCUAUCAGCUUGUUGGUGAGGUAACGGCUCACCAAGGCAACGACGGGUAGCCGGCCUGAGAGGGCGACCGGCCACACUGGGACUGAUACACGGCCCAGACUCCUACGGGAGGCAGCAGUGGGGAAUAUUGCACAAUGGGCGAAAGCCUUAUGCAGCGACGCCGCGUGGGGGAUGACGGCCUUCGGGUUGUAAACCUCUUUCAGCAGGGAAGAAGCGAAAGUGACGGUACCUGCAGAAGAAGCACCGGCUAACUACGUG
rnacentral:rRNA from 1 species